ACUGAAACUGAAAAAAUCUGGAACCGAAAGUCUCAUACAAAGAGUAUACUUUUUGACUUUUCUCCUCUUCCAAAGAAAAAAGAUGGGUGGCGGAAGUUGUGGUGGAGUAAUUUUGACAACAACCCAUUUGAAUUUUCCUUCGAUAACUGAUUUUACCUACAUCUCCAAGCUACAUAAUCCCAACUUCGCAAGAGCAACAAGAAGAUUCUUGAUUCAAUGUUCAUCUUCAACUCCUGAUCUCUCCAUAACUAAUGAGAAUUUUGGGGAUGUUCAUUCUCUCACUGGUGGUGCAUUGGAUUUCCAGAAAGCAACUACCUCACUUUCACCUCAUCUAUUACCUUCACCGAAGAAGAUAACUCUUCUCAGGCAUGGCCUUAGUUCAUGGAAUGCAGAAAGUAGAGUUCAGGAGAAAAGCAGGCCGAAAGAUGUAGGGAAGCAUUAGCAAAUAUCCAUUUUGAUAAAUGUUUCUCAAGUCCGAUUUCUCGUGCUAAGUCUACUUCUGAAAUUCUGUGGCAAGGAAGAAAAGAACCAUUGGUUUUCCUUGAUUCUUUGAAGGAGGCCCAUCUUUUUUUCUUAGAAGGCAUGAAAAAUGCCAACACCAAAUACCAACUCAGCCAAGGGAGGAAGUUAUUAACAAGUGCAACUUUUAUAUAUUUUUAGAAUCUUAGGGGGGGCCAUGGCCUACCUAGGCCCCCACAUAGCUUCGCCAUUGUCCCAAGGAAUACACGACAUGGAGGGAAGAUCCAAUUAACUUCAAUGUGGACGGCAUUUAUCCUAUUAGGGACUUAUGGGUGACAGCAGCUGAAGCUUGGAGACAAAUCUUGUCAAAUCCCGUAAGCCCUUUUGUCCUUUUAUCAUUGUGAAAGUUGCAAACCUGCCUGCAUAUAUUCAGUUUAUUUUUGUCUACGUCCCAAUUUCAUCUGUUUUAUCAGGGAGAGAGCUUUUUGGUGGUGACUCACAAAUCAAAAUUAAGGGCACUCGUGUGUACAGCUCUAGGGCUAGGCCCAGAAAGAUUUCGAGCAAUUGAUGUGAAUAAUGGCGGAAUUUGUGUAUUUAACUUCAAUAAAAUGGGAGAAGCUAUG